rnacentral:lncRNA from 1 species
CUGAGACGAUGCUCUGCGUGGUGCUGAGGAUCCAACCCACAGCUUUGUGCAUGCUAGGCAAGCACUUGAGCAUCUCAGCUGCACAGCCAGCCCAUGAAGCCCUUGUUUUCAGAAGAGGGGAAGUGUUAAUGCUGAGAAACAAGCUGCUGCUGACUGUUGUUGGGAGUUGGACUACAGACUGUAAGUCAUCAACAAAUUCCCUUACUAUAUCGAGACUACUCAUAAGUUCUGUGACUCUAGAGAACCCUGAUUAAUACAGUAUGCAAGUGUCAAUCCACUAAGCAAGUGUGUGGUGCUCUCCUGCACCCAGGCCCACCCAAGCACUGUGCUAGAAAUAGACACAGGCGUGCCUGGGAGAGAAGCCAGGGAGCAGAGCCUAGGACUCACUCAGCAGUCUCUUGAGUAAACCAGAAAUAGUGUAAUAUAGUACUUUUGAGUCUAAAGCAGGAAGAUUCCUACAAGUUUGAGGCCAAUCUGGUCUACAUAGUAAGUUCCAUAUCACCUACGGCUACACAGCGAGAGCCUCUAUAAAAUGAAAAAUAAGUAAAUAACACUUGAACAGUCAGGCUCCCGUGGGGAAUCUCUAGAACUUAGCAUAGCCUGUUCUCCCUGAGGCUCUGAUGAUUGGGCAGGACCAAGGAGGAUGUCCUAAUCUGGGAUGAAGCCAAGGCCUUUCUACAGGUGAGUUGUUCUUAGGAGCUCAGGACAUAGCUCUGGCAGGCUGCACCCGCCCCC